AUUUUAUUCGUAAGACAACCCCAUAAUGUGGACAGACAUCCCAUCUCGGCACACAACCCAUGAGUGUGCAGGGACACCCCUGGAGGUGACUCUUCAGAGGUCUUGAUGAAGAGGUCAGCUACCAAAGUGCAGGCAGAGUUGGGAGCUCAGCUGGGCACUCAGCUGCAGCAGGUCAUCACCUACAGAUCUGUGUGCAAGACCUGAUACCCCAGAAGAUCUGCAGUCAUAAAAGAAACCAAGGCCGGGAUAUAGCUCAGCGGCAAAGCGCCUGCCUGGCAAGUGCAAGGUCGUGAGUUCUAUUCCUGGUACAAAAAAAAGAAAGGAAAAAAGAAACCUAGAACACCAAGGAGGCAGGAAAGUUGGGGGUUAAAGUUACUCGGCCUCUCUCCUCUUCCUUGCCAGUUCUUCUCAUCGUUCAACCCUGAUCAGAGUCCAGAGGGCGGACGGGGCCCCGAUGGUGACACAAUCCUUAGGGUCACCCUACCGCCCAGGGCACACUAAGAGGGGCAGAGAAUGGACCGGGGAAGCAGGCACUUUGCACUUGUUACUAAAAUGAGUAAUAUCGUCUCUGCGGCAGCUCCUUCAAACUACAUACACUGUGCGCAAGUACUACCUGAGGAGCUAAGCUCUUCUACAAAUGCAGGUGCCAGGGCCGCUCGCAGAGAAUGGGUGCAAUGCCAGAUGCUGCUCUUGCAUGUCUGCACCGUGGAGGGGAAACAAUGGAUUCUUCCAAGUGCACAGGAGCCUGCAGAUGCUAUGCUUGCCUGGAGCCAAGGUCAUGAUGUUCUCCAGGUUGCACGCCCACCAAAAGCUGCUUCUGCCCCUCACUUCUGCCAAGGCGCCAACGGGCAAGAAGGUUCUCACCAACGUAGUCCCUCAGACUGGGCCUCAGCCUCCAGAUACAUCAGCCAAAUGAACUUCUGUUUGUUAGAAGUGAGGCAGGCUCGGGUGUUCUGCUGUCAGCACAAAUGAGCUGAGAGAACACGCUAAGCCGUUCUGCCCUGCGCUGGGCCACCCCACACGUGCAGGGGAGCAAGGGCGGGCUGGAGUCACCGGAA
rnacentral:lncRNA from 1 species